GUAGAAGCUACAAAGGGUGUGCGACGAAUGCCUAGGGACAAAUUGCCGAAGAAGGACGUGCAAGCAACGAUAUGCUACGGGAAGCAGCACGAAUGCGAUGAUCCGUAGAUUUCCGAAUGGGGAAACCCAGCGCGGGUAAUGCCGCGUUAUCCACUUCUGAACACAUAGGGAGUGAGAAGGGCACCGGGUGAACUGAAACAUCUAAGUAACCCGUGGAAAAGAAACCGAAGGGACUCCGUAAGUAGCGGCGAGCGAACGCGGACCAGCCUAAACCAGACGGCAUGCCGGCUGGGGUAGUGGGGCAUCCACUGGCUUUCCCAAGUUGGGCGUGGAGGAACGUAAGGAUGGCGAGGAUGGUAAAGAUAGUGAGGGUUGCAAUGACAAUCCUUACAACCUUGACAAUCCUCACCAUCCUCAACACCUCCCCGUCGAACUUGUGAAAGUCAGAAAAGAAAAACGCGAUUUGGAUAGAAGAACAAGAUUGGAAAGUCUGGCCGUAGAGGGUGACAGCCCCGUAUUCCAAAUCCAAACCAAUUUCAGGAUGUACCCGAGUAGCGCGGAGCACGAGGAAUUCCGCGUGAAUCUGCCCGGACCACCGGGUAAGGCUAAGUACGAUUUGUCACCGAUAGUGCAUCCAGUACCGUGAGGGAAAGGUGAAAAGAACCCCGGGAGGGGAGUGAAAUAGAACCUGAAAUCGCAUCACCCGCAAACAGUCAGAGCACCAGGUGCGGAGCAAUCCGUACAAGUGUGAUGGCGUGCCUUUUGCAGAAUGAGCCUGCGAGUUAUUGGCAGCGGCAAGGUUAAGUGGUUAAGCCACGGAGCCGGAGGGAAACCGAGUCUGAAUAGGGCGUCGAGUCGUUGUCAGUAGACCCGAAACUGCGUGAUCUAGCCAUGGCCAGGGUGAAGUGGUGGUAACACACCAUGGAGGCCCGAACUCAUUGACGUUGAAAAGUCUCGGGAUGAGCUGUGGUUAGUCCGGUGAAAUGCCAAUCGAACGCAGAGAUAGCUGGUUCUCCCCGAAAUGCAUUGAGGUGCAGCGUUACGUGUUGUCAUGCGGGGGUAGAGCACUGAAUGGGCUAGGGGGCUUACCCGCUUACCGAACCCAAUCAAACUCCGAAUACCGUAUGAUUAGCGUGGCAGUGAGACUGCGAGCGAUAAGGUCCGUGGUCAAAAGGGAAACAGCCCAGAUCGUCAGCUAAGGUCCCCAAGAGAUGGUUAAGUGUGAAACGAUGUGAAGAAGCGUAAACAGCCAGGAGGUUGGCUUGGAAGCAGCCACCCUUUAAAAAGUGCGUAACAGCUUACUGGCCGAAUGUUUCUUUGCGCGGAUAAUGUAAGGGGGCUCAAACCAUCCACCGAAGCUACGGGAUCUCCCAUGAGGGAAGAUCGGUAGGGGAGCGUUGAAUCAGCUGUGAAGCAUGAGCGUAAGUCCAUGUGGAGCAGAUCCAAGUGAGAAUGCAGGCAUGAGUAGCGAUAAGACAGGUGAGAAUCCUGUCCGCCGAAAACCUAAGGUUUCUCUGGCUAUGUUCGUCAGACGGAGGUUAGGCGGACCUAAGGCGAGGCCAGAAGGCGUAGCCGAUGGACAGCAGGUAGACAUUCCUGCCCCGUGCGCAGUGCGAUGAGGGACGCUUCUUGAUAUUCCAGACAGACCGUUGGUUGUUCUGCUCUGAGCCCUUCGGGGUGACGAGGUUGGGAUUGACAGGGGCCGAGAAAAGCUCUAAGCACCAGCUGCGUACGACCGUACUGCAAACCGACACAGGUAGGUGAGUCGAGGAGACUAAGGCGUUCGAGAGAACUCUCGUUAAGGAACUAGGCAAAUGAGUCCCGUAACUUUGGAAGAAGGGACACCCCGCAAGGGGUCGCAGCGAAGCAUCCCAGGCGACUGUUUACCAAAAACACAGGUCUCUGCUAAGGUGAAAACCGAUGUAUAGGGGCUGACGCCUGCCCAAUGCUCGUAGAUUAACAGGAGGUGUUAUCUUCGGAGAAGCACUGAAUCGAAGUCCGAGUGA
rnacentral:rRNA from 1 species